AUGCUAGCUUUGGCAACACAUAUAAUAAAAUUGGAAUGAUACAGAGAAGAUUAGCAUGGCCCCACAAGGAUAACACGCAAAUUCAUGAAGCGUCCCAUAUUUUU
ensembl:snRNA LOC120100169 U6 spliceosomal RNA